CUGGGCAGAGACCAGCUCCCUUGAUGAUCACUGAUGCGAUGGAGUGACUGAGGCCUAGAAAAAGUACGACUUUUUCACAGUUCCACAUCAAGUCUUUGGACCUCUGGGUCUAACUCCUCUGAUAAGGCCAUGAAGGUCAAGAAUAAGGAGUCCUGAAGACACACAGAUGGCCAACAGACAUGGGAGAAGAUGCUCAACAUCACUAACCUUCAGGGAAAUGCAAAUCAAAACCACAGUGAGAUACAGCCUCACACCUGUCACAAUGACUGUUCUCAAGAAGACCAAAAAUAGCAAGUGCUGGGUAAGCUAUGAAGAAAAAGGAACCUCGU